AAGGUCUUAGCUUAAUUAAAGCAUCUGGGUUGCAUUCCAGGUAAUGUAGGGUAGAAUCCUGCAGGUCUUA
rnacentral:tRNA from 1 species